UCGGGAAUUUUGGGCAAUGGGCGAAAGCCUGACCCAGCAACGCCGCGUGAGGGAUGAAGUAUUUCGGUAUGUAAACCUCGAAAGAAUGGGAAGAAUAAAUGACGGUACCAUUUAUAAGCUCCGGCUAACUACGUGCCAGCAGCCGCGGUAAUACGUAGGGAGCAAGAGUUGUUCGGAUUUACUGGGCGUAAAGGGCGCGUAGGCGGCGCGGUAAGUCACUUGUGAAAUCUCUGAGCUUAACUCAGAACGGCCAAGUGAUACUGCUGUGCUAGAGGGCGGAAGAGGCAACCGGAAUUCUUGGUGUAGCGGUGAAAUGCGUAGAUAUCAAGAGGAACACCUGAGGCGAAGGCGGGUUGCUGGGCCGACACUGACGCUGAUGCGCGAAAGCCAGGGG
rnacentral:rRNA from 1 species